rnacentral:rRNA from 1 species
UACGUAGGUGACAAGCGUUGUCCGGAUUUACUGGGCGUAAAGAGCGCGCAGGCGGUCGAUCAAGUCGAGUGUGAAAGCCCCCGGCUCAACUGGGGAGGGUCAUUCGAUACUGAUCGACUCGAAGGCAGGAGAGGGUAGUGGAAUUCCCGGUGUAGUGGUGAAAUGCGUAGAUAUCGUGGAGAACACCCGUGGCGAAGGCGGGCUUCUGGCUAAUAACUGACGCUGAGGUGCGAAAGCUAGGGGAGCGAACGGG